CGGGACGGGUGAGUAAUGUCUGAGAAACUGCCUGAUGGAGGGGGAUAACUACUGGAAACGGUAGCUAAUACCGCAUAACGUCGCAAGACCAAAGAGGGGGACCUUAGGGCCUCUUGCCAUCGGAUGUGCCCAGAUGGGAUUAGCUUGUUGGUGGGGUAACGGCUCACCAAGGCGACGAUCCCUAGCUGGUCUGAGAGGAUGACCAGCCACACUGGAACUGAGACACGGUCCAG
rnacentral:rRNA from 1 species